GUGAGCUGCUGGUUGAGCAGAGCAAAGAGACACUGAGAGUACAGCUCUGGGAGUUUGAACUGGACGGCUAUGAUGCUGACGUCAGGCCUCUUCUUCAGCUGGUGUGGGAGGUGAACAACAGCAUGAAGAUGAGAGACAUUGAGUAUGAAGCCAGAAGGCUGCUCAGCUGUCCAGAGGCCGUCCCUCCUCAUUUC